GCUAGUGGCAGUAGCAAACUGAAUGAAUCAGUGCUCAAUGGUUAACUGAAGUUAAACAACGUUUUGCUUGGUUGGUAUCGGGGUGGGUGACCAUCUGGGCAAUUGCAUGCUGCUGGCU
rfam:Asian citrus Psyllid, Diaphorina citri - Florida Strain, whole genome shotgun sequence.